AGAGUUUGAUUAUGGCUCAGGAUGAACGCUGGCGGCGUGCCUAAUACAUGCAAGUGAAACGGGUAUCUUCGGAUACCAGUCGCGGACGGGUGAGUAAUACAUAGGCAACCUGCCUUUAUGAGGGGGAUAACCGAGGGAAACUUUGGCUAAUACCGCAUGAAGACUCUAAGGCAUCUUAGAGGGAUAAAAGUUGGGAAACAACGCAUGAAGAUGGGCUUAUGGCGCAUUAGCUAGUUGGUGAGAUAGAAGCCCACCAAGGUAAUGAUGCGUAGCCGACCUGAGAGGGUGAACGGCCACAUUGGGACUGAGACACGGCCCAAACUCCUACGGGAGGCAGCAGUAGGGAAUUUUCGGCAAUGGGGGGAACCCUGACCGAGCAACGCCCGCGUGAAGGAAGAAGGUUUUCGGAUUGUAAACUUCUGUUAUAAGGGAAGAACGGAUUGGAUAGGGAAUGAUCUGAUAGUGACGGUACCUUAUUAGAAAGCCACGGCUAACUACGUGCCAGCCGCCGC
rnacentral:rRNA from 1 species